rnacentral:lncRNA from 1 species
AUUUUGUGAUUCUUGAUUCAGCUUGAAGGUUUGAACUGAGUGAGUCUGAGUGUCUAUAUAUUUAUCAGUAGUACUGGAGUAACUGAUGGAUCAGUGAUACAAUCAUUGAUACAAGUUAUGACUGAUGAGAAUUACCAGCUCACUGGACCCUGACUCUAAGAAUCUGAAGAGUUAUUACGUGUGUAUCCUCCAUAUAUAAAUUAUUUUGAAGUCACUAAGGAGGCUCUCAGUUCCUGUGAUUGUCAGUUCCCAAGGUUUCAUGCUUUCCUUAAGUGUAAUGAGUCCAAACCAGAGUAU